rnacentral:rRNA from 1 species
UACGUAGGAUGCAAGCGUUGUCCGGAAUUAUUGGGCGUAAAGAGCGAGCAGGCGGUUACUCAAGUCAGAUGUAAAAUAUCCCGGCUUAACCGGGAGGGGCCAUUUGAAACUGGGUAACUAGAGUGAAGCAGAGGAUAGCGGAAUUCCCGGUGUAGUGGUGAAAUGCGUAGAGAUCGGGGAGGAAGGCCGGGUGGCGAAGGCGGCGCUCUGGAACAUUUCUGACGGCUGAGGCUCGAAAGCGUGGGGAGCGAACCGG